CAAACAAACACACAACCGCUCCAAGUACACCAGGAAGAGCAUUCAAGUUUGCUUUGAAAUGGGGCCAGGACAAGCUCUGCAAGGAGAAGAGAGAGUUCAAGAACCCAACGGUGAACUAGGAAGGGAGGAAACCCCGACCACUUUGGGGCGAGCAGAGCCCGAGUAAAUGUGCCCGUACCAUGGAAGUGUUGCUACUUCUGUUGUGUCUCAUGGCUGCAGAUGCCUUGGAGGUGAAGAUUAGCCCUUCCCCAUUAAUAGGUCUAGUAUAUAAGGAUGUUGUACUUCACUGUAACUUCACUGUUCAGCAAAGUUUCAAAAAGGAAGAUGUGGCUGUGAAGUGGACCAUGAAAAAAGUGGUAUCUGGAGAAGACAAGCCAGUGUUUCAGUUUGAUGGGAAUCACACAGCAAGUUACCGACAAGGUUCCUCAGUGAAUCCUGAGUUCCUGCCGUAUGGCAUGGCAUCACUCACUCUGUCCAAUGUAACAUUAAUGGAUGAAGGGAUUUAUACAUGUACAGUUUUAGUGAUGCCACAGUAUGGAAAUGGGAAAAUCCAGCUUAAAGUCAGAGCCCAGCCUACAGUUCAGCUCUCUCCCCAAAGUAUAUUGACUGCAGCAGAAGGAGAGAAGACAUUUUCUUGUCAUGUCCGCAACUUCUUCCCUCAAAGAAUUAAUGUUUCUUGGUUGGUCCGAAAGCACGGCAGCACAUAUGAUGCACCGUUAUCUUCAGAUAUAUGCACUGGGGUCCCAUCUUCACAUGGCCUUGAUGGUUUGUUCACUGUGCUGAGUCGUGUAACCCAGAUGGUGAAUGAGACAAACAAUGGCUCCCUGUACAUCUGUGAGGUGCAACAUGAGUCCCUGAAGAAACCACUGAGGAAGAAUACAACAUUGUUGGUCACAGCACCCAUACCUUAUCAUCAGGACAAAGGAUUUAUCAUCGGGGUGGCCAUUGCUUGCAUCGUGAUCACAGGUUUAUGCAGCAUAUUUGUAACCAUAUUUUAUCAGCAGCGCCUUGCUAAAGUGGAACCUCAAGUUUCAUCAAUCAUUAAGCCAGACCUGAUUCCAGUUAAUGAAAAAAUCAAACUGAUAUGCAACAUCAAUGGAUUCAGACCCAAAACAAUCCAGGUGAAAUGGUACCGAAAACAUACACACACGGCAUCAACAGAAGAUCCUGCAAGAGAAGAUGUAGCUCUUUCUGAUGCUAGAGAAGAUAUGACAAGUAUGGCUCAGCAACCCUUGGAAGCCAAUGGCCGGGUUUAUAGCAUCUCCUCCUGCCUAACUUACACACCUACUAUAAAGGACAAUGGGAUGGAAUUUGAAUGCAGCAUCCAGCACAGCACUCUCAAGAGCCCAAUAUGGAAGGCCACGGUCAUUUAUGUUACUGCUCGCCCAGCAACUCAUUACAUCUUCAGUUCACCUCAACUCCCUGUCCAGGGAGAGAAGCUCAUUCUGACCUGUGUUGUGGAGAAAUUUUAUCCAAAGAAUAUUGCUUUGGUUUGGUUUCGAAAUGGACAUCCAGUUGAAGAGGUGACACAGUUUGGACCGUUUCCUUGUGAGAGCGAUUUUUACAGUGUGUGGAGUCAAACUGAAUUUACCCUGACCAAAGACAAUGAAGGAGCCAUUUAUACUUGUCAGAUCCACCACAGCAGCUUUGGAAAUGUAGAGGAACUCUCCUAUGAAAUAAAUUUGCAAGGAACACCUCCAGAAGUCCUUUGGAUCACUCCAGAUCCAUCAAGUCCUGUGCCAGGAGAAGAGCUAAGGCUGAACUGUAGAAUCAAUAACUUUUCCCCUAAUCUUAUCAGUGUGAACUGGUUCAAAGAUGGGGAGCUGCUCCAUGAGCAGAUCUGUCACUCAGUCGCUGUUGUUGGCACCAAUGGCUUGUUCUCCAUGUGGAGCCUGCUGAGAGUUAUCCCAGAGCAUGGGGCAAAAAAGGCUGUGUAUAAAUGCAGAGUGGAACAUGGAGCCCUGAAAGAAUGCAUAGAAAGAUUAUACAUGUUGCAGUUACCUACUGCAUUCUGCUAAAUUGAUAACAUCCUUGAACAAAUCCUUGUUUUGCUGUGAUGAACUAACAUGGCUACCUUCUUGAGAAUUUCCACAAACACAACAUGUAAAAAAAAAGGUAUGCCAAAGGGUGCUUUGAUAAAGUGUUGUAGUGGUGAUGUAUGAGCUAAAAUGUGAUCUGGACAGAGCAUUUGGACUCUCUUUCCUUGUAGGAGGAAGGCAGCAUACUUUGGCUUUUGGCCUGAGAUCUUCAUCUGUAAAAAUACCCCAUAGGGUGGCAGAGAGAUUAAAUUCUGCUUACAGCA